rnacentral:lncRNA from 1 species
UUUCCUUAAAUUUUUUUGUUAUUUACCCUUAAUUUCUUGCUAAAGUUCCCCUUCUCUUUCUAAAAUUCCUAGAAGCUUUGUGGCUUGAUUUUCACUCCACUAUAUCUUGAAAUUCACCCAUUUUUAGAUUAAAUUUCCUUGAGCAUAGAGGGACAUAGAGUUGGUUUUAGAAAUGUGAUUUGCAUAAAUGGUCCCACAUGGGACUAUUACGUAAUUUUCUAUUCAAAUCACAAUGUUGUGAUAUAGGUAUCAUUGCUCUCAUUUUGAUUAAUAUAUUAUGAUUUUAAUAGCAUGCCACCUUAUGGAAGUUUCUCAAAAGGGGAAAUCAAUUAUUUAGUACACUUUUCAUGCUUUUCUUCGUUGCCCGGGUAGUCUAGGUUUUCCUUUCUUAUACAUUGAGCUAUUUUGUAGUAUACUUAUCAUAUUAUUCUAGAUAUGGGGUGUGAUUUAGCAUUUAGAAGUAUGAAUGCAAGUAUUUUGUGUAAUUGGGCCAUUAGCCUAUCUUAAAAUCAUAGGCUUGGGGUAGUUAUCGUAGUCAUUCAUGGCUUAGGUGGAUUGAGCUUCGUGGUAUACAUAUAUAUAUAUAUUUGGUAUGGAUUAUAGACAUGGCAUGGCUAACAUGUAUGAUAUGGCUUAUAGAUACGAUUAAUGCCUUAUUGGUAUGAUGGAUGGCCUAUAGAUAUGAUGUUCAUAUGAAGUCAAGAUUUUCUUUAUAAUAUCACUUAUAAAUCUUAGCAUUGCUAUGGAUUUUUUAUAUAGAAAAUAAUAUGGCUUAUAGAUGUGAUUUUGGAUGAGACUUGUGGUUAUAAAUCUUGGUCUGGGGUAUAAAAAAGUGUAAAGGGAUGGAUUAUAGCAAUGAAUCAUUGGGAUAAUCUUUUGAGUUCAGCUUAUUGAAAUGCCUCGCUAAAAUGUUCAUUGGUAUGGUUUAUAAUUAUGAGUUUCAGUUUAAGUUUGGUAAUUGCUGAUGAUAUAAAUGAUAUAAGUUCUUGUUUAAGUAAAAAAAUAAUGAUGAUGCUAUUGAGUUUUGGUUCGAGUCCAGCAUUAAGGAUUGGUUAUGAUGUCAUAUAGGACGGAUGGAUUCAUUGUUGUGCCAUGAUAGUUUGUAAUUACUAUUAUUCAGCUAUUAGUUUCCUUGAUUUUACCCUCCAGGUUUAUAAGGUCCUGCGUCAGUGAAGUGUUAUGGUUUCAUGGCACAUUUGAUGAUUAAAUAGUGAAAACAUGAAUUUACUUAGGUUGUUUUGUUGGAUAUAAUGUGUUUUUAUGUAUAUUGCAGGUUAAUUAGGUUGGAAGUGGUGUUGAAUGGAAAAGGAGGAAAAAUAUAAAAAAAUGCAAGUACUAUCUGAUAAUGAGUUGUAUAGUAACCUAAUGAAUCAUUUCCAAAGUUGCGAUAAUAUUAGUUGUUGUGGAUGAUUUAUAGUAGUGAAUUAAAGACUAACCAUGACUCGUUAUUUGUGAUACCAUGAAUUGUUAUUUGUGACUACGAAUCAUGGUGUGCAAUCGUUCUGAUCAUGGAUACAAAAGUCCUGAAAGUUGACAAAAUGAAGUCCUAGUGGAUAUGAGUGAAGGCCACGAGUCAUGAUGAUUGACUAUGAAUCAUGGUAAGGAUUCUUUAUAACAAUAUACUCAAGAUUCCUUAAAGUGAAAAUAUAUUGGAGUGAUGAUGACUCGCAACAUACGAAUCAUUAUGUCACCUAAUGAAUCGUGACCUCUAAAGCAAAAUAAGAGCUACGAUAGCAGGCGAUGAAUUAUGAUAGUCCUAAUGACUCAGUUCGAGAUAAUUUGCCUAUUUUGUUUUAAUAAAAUUUCCUUUAUUAUUUUGAGAUACUAUAAAUACCCUUGGGUUAUUCUUGUAUUAUGUUACACAUUUUGAGAUAUUCUUACGUACUUUGACAUCUUUGAUAAUCUUACUCUUGGUUCUGGG